rnacentral:rRNA from 1 species
CAGAGUUUGAUCCUGGCUCAGGACGAACGCUGGCGGCGUGCUUAACACAUGCAAGUCGAACGAUGAACCUCUUCGGAGGGGAUUAGUGGCGAACGGGUGAGUAACACGUGGGCAAUCUGCCCUGCACUCUGGGACAAGCCCUGGAAACGGGGUCUAAUACCGGAUACGACCAUCUCGGGCAUCCGAUGGUGGUGGAAAGCUCCGGCGGUGCAGGAUGAGCCCGCGGCCUAUCAGCUUGUUGGUGGGGUGAUGGCCUACCAAGGCGACGACGGGUAGCCGGCCUGAGAGGGCGACCGGCCACACUGGGACUGAGACACGGCCCAGACUCCUACGGGAGGCAGCAGUGGGGAAUAUUGCACAAUGGGCGGAAGCCUGAUGCAGCGACGCCGCGUGAGGGAUGACGGCCUUCGGGUUGUAAACCUCUUUCAGCAGGGAAGAAGCGCGAGUGACGGUACCUGCAGAAGAAGCACCGGCUAACUACGUGCCAGCAGCCGCGGUAAUACGUAGGGUGCGAGCGUUGUCCGGAAUUAUUGGGCGUAAAGAGCUCGUAGGCGGCUUGUCGCGUCGGAUGUGAAAGCCCGGGGCUUAACCCCGGGUCUGCAUUCGAUACGGGCAGGCUAGAGUUCGGUAGGGGAGAUCGGAAUUCCUGGUGUAGCGGUGAAAUGCGCAGAUAUCAGGAGGAACACCGGUGGCGAAGGCGGAUCUCUGGGCCGAUACU